rnacentral:tmRNA from 1 species
GGGGGCGCAUUUUGGUUUCGACGGGGUUGUGUUGCAUUUAAGAAGCGAGUCGAGGGAACCUGUGGACCCGCGUUAAAAAACUAUAGGAUAAAAAUUAAACGAUAACGAAAAUAAUUUAGCUUUAGCUGCGUAGUCAGCUAACGUCAGCCUAAGAGUCCCGCGACUUAGGACCUGGCGUCGAUAGCGGGGAACCGAGCCUUAUAAAGCUUUGAGUAAGGAACGGAAUUUAUGAAGCUACUGAAGUCAGAAGCCUGUCCGUAGGCGUCUGAUGGAGGGAAUGUAAAACUACGGAAUGCACUCGGAGAUGCUUAAGUGUUACCAGUUUCGGACAAGGGUUCGACUCCCUUCGCCUCCACUU